GCACUGCUGAAGAGUCCCACAAUAGGACGAAACAGUCGUCCAAUGC
rnacentral:hammerhead_ribozyme from 1 species